rnacentral:rRNA from 1 species
UACGGAGGGUGCGAGCGUUGUCCGGAAUCACUGGGCGUAAAGGGCGCGUAGGCGGCCUCUGCAAGUCGACUGUGAAAUCUCCGGGCUUAACCCGGAAAGGUCAGCCGAUACUGCAGGGCUAGAGUGCAGAAGGGGCAACUGGAAUUCUCGGUGUAGCGGUGAAAUGCGUAGAUAUCGAGAGGAACACCUGCGGCGAAGGCGGGUUGCUGGGCUGACACUGACGCUGAAGUGCGAAAGCUAGGGGAGCGAACGGG